CUUUUAUUUGAUGUGCAUAGUAUUAACAAGGGUUACAUCACAGACAUAUUAAUGUCUAGCAAUUUCUUUUUUAAUGAUCAACAGGGAUAGUCAUUUAAAAAGGCAGAUAAAUGUGGCUACAAAGUACAUUUUUCUGAAGUUUUAGUUCAAACAUCCGACCAGUUUAUUGGAUUUAUCUUCUUCAAUUUCAGAUGGUUUCAACUGCUUUUAAAUAAAAUAAUUAAAUCGAGGCAUUCAUUUGUAAAAUGUUCUUGUUUUUAAGAACAUCUAACAAGUAAUAUUGUAAUCAUUUUUUGUGUGUGCUUUUCAAUAUAAUAAAGUACAAUUUUGGGAAACUAUAUAUACUAAGUUUUCCUAAAUGGCCCCCACAUCUAUCAUAUCACAAGGAUACAUGAUGUAUUCAGUGUAAAUGCUUGAUAAUACUAACCUCACUUCUGCUCCAGGGCUGCCAUUUCCUCAUCUUCAUGGGUGUUACUCCUCCUUGCUCUCUUCUGUAAUUUGCCCUGCUUGGCUAAGCUUUCUCCCUAAAGCAGUUGUUCCCAACCUAUGGUACACGUACCCCCAGGGUACAAUUUAGCUCCCUCUGUGUUACCCGAAAAAAUGUCUGUAAUGGCAGAACUGACAUCCGCAGGGCCGAACCAGGGUGCAUUGCCCCUGAGACUGGUGUGCCCUGGAUUUGUU